rnacentral:rRNA from 1 species
UACGUAGGGUGCAAGCGUUAAUCGGAAUUACUGGGCGUAAAGCGUGCGCAGGCGGUUAUGCAAGACAGAUGUGAGAUCCCCGGGCUCAACCUGGGAACUGCAUUUGUGACUGCAUGGCUAGAGUACGGUAGAGGGGGAUGGAAUUCCGCGUGUAGCAGUGAAAUGCGUAGAUAUGCGGAGGAACACCGAUGGCGAAGGCAAUCCCCUGGACCUGUACUGACGCUCAUGCACGAAAGCGUGGGGAGCAAACAGG